AACGAACGCUGGCGGCAGGCUUAACACAUGCAAGUCGAGCGCCCCGCAAGGGGAGCGGCGGACGGGUGAGUAACGCGUGGGAAUCUACCCAUCUCUGCGGAAUAACGCAUGGAAACGUGUGCUAAUACCGUAUACGUCCUUCGGGAGAAAGAUUUAUCGGAGAUGGAUGGGCCCGCGUUGGAUUAGCUAGUUGGUGGGGUAAAGGCCUACCAAGGCGACGAUCCAUAGCUGGUCUGAGAGGAUGAUCAGCCACACUGGGACUGAGACACGGCCCAGACUCCUACGGGAGGCAGCAGUGGGGAAUAUUGGACAAUGGGCGCAAGCCUGAUCCAGCCAUGCCGCGUGAGUGAUGAAGGCCCUAGGGUUGUAAAGCUCUUUCACCGGUGAAGAUAAUGACGGUAACCGGAGAAGAAGCCCCGGCUAACUUCGUGCCAGCCGCCGCCGUAAAAC
rnacentral:rRNA from 1 species